UCCUGGUUUCCCAGGCAGUCCCAUCAGAGUGCGUUACUCACGUAACUAGCAACUGACAGCAGGGGUUGCGCUCGUUAGAGGACUUAACCCAACAUCUCACGACACGAGCUGACGACAGCCAUGCAGCACCUGUGCAAUUGCUUUAACCGAAGCUAAAGAGAUCGUAUUUCUACGACUGUCAAAAGCAUGUCAAGCCUAGGUAAGGUUCCUCGCGUAGUGUCGAAUUAAACCACAUGUUCCACCGCUUGUGCGGGCCCCCGUCAAUUUCUUUGAGUUUUAGUCUUGCGACCGUAAUCCCCAGGCGGAUCACUUAACGCGUUAGCUACGACACUAAUCCUGUUAAACAGAAUUAACGUCCAGUGAUCAUCGUUUACAGCGUGGACUAC
rnacentral:misc_RNA from 1 species